rnacentral:rRNA from 1 species
GACGUAGGAGGCGAGCGUUGUCCGGAUUCAUUGGGCGUAAAGAGCACGCAGGCGGUUUGGCAAGUCGGAUGUGAAAACCCGAAGCUCAACUUCGGGCCUGCAUCCGAAACUGCCCGACUAGAGGUAGGUAGGGGAGAUCGGAAUUCCUGGUGUAGCGGUGAAAUGCGCAGAUAUCAGGAAGAACACCGGUGGCGAAAGCGCUCUGCUGGACCUUAACUGACACUGAGGGACGAAAGCUAGGGGAGCGAAUGGG